AACGCGAAGAACCUUACCAGGUCUUGACAUCCUCUGACCACUCUAGAGAUAGAGCUUUCCCCUUCGGGGGACAGAGUGACAGGUGGUGCAUGGUUGUCGUCAGCUCGUGUCGUGAGAUGUUGGGUUAAGUCCCGCAACGAGCGCAACCCUUGACCUUAGUUGCCAGCAUUCAGUUGGGCACUCUAAGGUGACUGCCGGUGACAAACCGGAGGAAGGUGGGGAUGACGUCAAAUCAUCAUGCCCCUUAUGACCUGGGCUACACACGUGCUACAAUGGAUGGUACAAAGGGUUGCGAAGCCGCGAGGCCAAGCCAAUCCCAAAAAGCCAUUCUCAGUUCGGAUUGUAGGCUGCAACUCGCCUACAUGAAGCCGGAAUUGCUAGUAAUCGCGGAUCAGCAUGCCGCGGUGAAUACGUUCCCGGGCCUUGUACACACCGCCCGUCACACCACGAGA
rnacentral:rRNA from 1 species